CUAUGGAGAAAGGAAGAAAAAAAUUUUUUUUAAUGUAGUCAAGAAAUCACUCAACACCAAGAAUGAACAGAACUGGUGUGAAGGUGACCCAUGGAUGUCGUAUCUCAACUACCUUUUUGGCAGCACACCUCUUCAGUAGCUAAGCUGCUCAGCUGUAAGCCUAUGAAGUCAGGCCAACAUGGGCCAGUGUCACAUCUGAGAUAA
rnacentral:lncRNA from 12 species